rnacentral:rRNA from 1 species
AGUGAACGCUGGCGAUAGGCCUAACACAUGCAAGUCGAACGGCAGCACAGUAAGAGCUUGCUCUUACGGGUGGCGAGUGGCGGACGGGUGAGGAAUACAUCGGAAUCUACUUUUUCGUGGGGGAUAACGUAGGGAAACUUACGCUAAUACCGCAUACGACCUACGGGUGAAAGCAGGGGAUCUUCGGACCUUGCGCGAUUGAAUGAGCCGAUGUCGGAUUAGCUAGUUGGCGGGGUAAAGGCCCACCAAGGCGACGAUCCGUAGCUGGUCUGAGAGGAUGAUCAGCCACACUGGAACUGAGACACGGUCCAGACUCCUACGGGAGGCAGCAGUGGGGAAUAUUGGACAAUGGGCGCAAGCCUGAUCCAGCCAUACCGCGUGGGUGAAGAAGGCCUUCGGGUUGUAAAGCCCUUUUGUUGGGAAAGAAAAGCAGCAGGUUAAUACCCCGCUGUUCUGACGGUACCCAAAGAAUAAGCACCGGCUAACUUCGG